UAGAAAUUAGAAUAAAAUAUCAGAAACCAAAACACAAUUUCAAUAAAAUGAAGCAAAAUAAAAGUGAAACAUUUUGAAUUGUAGGACGUCAUUGCUCGGAUGAUGACAUUUGUCCAUCCUUAAAACUGGAAGUUAUUUGACCUGUCGUGAUACUAGAUAUGCUCCGUAUUAAACUUUUAUUAGUAUACGGAAAUCUGGAAAAACUCCAUCUUCAAAACUUAAAAGUCAUCAUCCAAUCAUUGAUGUCACUUUUUUUUAAUUUUAUUUUGAUUUCUGGAUAUUAUUUAUUUAAUUUUUUUGGAAUUGUGUUUUGCUUUCUGGAAUCUAGUUUUGUGUUUUUAAAUGUAAUUUUUUUUUUAACAAUUUGUUUUGUUUUUUAUUAAACUGUCCUCAUGAUCUUUAAUAUGUUUUUGGUUUAAGCAAAGUGUUGGUGUGAUUUAGACUUCAGGGCCACCGUACAAACCAGUUGGAAUGGACAAAAAUGUUUUAUUUUUUUUUUGUUUUCAGCUGUUUUAGGUGCAGAUUUGUGUUAAAUUUGAGGACACAAAUCAAAAUAGAACCUUUCACAACUUUAUUUCUGUUCAGUUGAAACUUCCAGGUGAACAGAAAUAGACAACCUAAACUUUUGACACAAUCGGACUAGAGAAAAGAAACGUGUCAGGUGCUUUCAAAAUAAAAACUGUCUCCAUACAGGAAUGGUCAGAAUACACCAAAAAGGAACAAAGGAGUGGAAGCCAAAGAUCUGAUGAAGGCCAAACACAAUCAGGAGGCUCCUGUACUGAGGGAGGUAAUCAUGGAGAGCAGCAGGUUUUCUGAACAGACUGAUGGAAGGAGUCCAGUUUUUGAUUCUACCUGCUGCUCCACCACCUGUUCUCAGACACGUUUAAAGGCAAACCUUCAGUUUCCAGUGAACAAAUCAAACGGUUUAUUCCACUGAUGACGAGACUUGUAAAUUCCCUCAAGUGUGUUUCCGCUGGACUGUGGCCGGGGUGGGGGGGCACCGAAGCAGAAAGAAGUUUGGCUUUUCAGGAGAGGAUUUUCUCCCGAGUUUCAGGCAGCUUCAGAGCCACCAGGCCUCCACAGACGAGGG